UUUCCUACAGAGAGCCAUUCACUCAAUUUGAGUGAAUGCUUAUUCCUUUGGGGGGCCAAUGGAAAGGUCUUUCCAUUGAUGCCUUAUUUCCUUUUUGUCCAAAAUAUCCCCAGCUCCAGCCCUGGUCUUUCCGGUGCUUCUCCAUCUCCAGCCCAGUUGUUUCCGGCGCUCCUCCUUGUCCUUGCGCAAUCAACAAGAAAGGCUCUUCAGGGUAAUUUCUGUACACAUAUUCUCCCUCUUUCAGACUCUCACCCUCUUCUUCUUCUCGCAAACCCUAAAAAGUAAAAACCUUUUUUUUUCGUCAUCUUCAUCCGAAAUCUCCUUCGUAUGUUGAGGAAUUGAAGUUUGAAGCUCGAGCUUCGAACAAGUAUAGAACUGUUGAGUGCCAUGAGAUUUUUUUUUUGUGAUUUUUCUUUUGUUGUCACAAAUCUGAUUUUGUCGUCAGAAAAGGAACUCUCUUUUAUUCUUGCCAGAUUUUGUUCUGCUGUGAGACUCGAGCUUGAAUUUUAUUUGGAAUUUUAUUACUUCCCGUACAAAGACUCGAGCUUUCUUCAGUUUAUGUAAAAAUUGGUUGUCCACAAUUUUUGGGGGCAGCUUGAGUGUAGUGCAUUCACCAGUGUUGGGAGCCAGAGUGUUGUGAUUCCUCCUCCUAGACUUGAUCACGUUGCUGUCAGCAUGCCUUGUGGAAGGAUCAUCAUCUUUGGUAGAUCUAUGUAUGAUUGUGUAACUGGUAGGGGUUCCGAGGCAACAUUUAGGAGUGAUUAUUUAGUUUUAUGGUUACAUAAAGAUAUUAUAACGUAUGUGUUAUGCAUUUCUCUUUUGAUAUCCUAACUAAUUAGGAUUAUGUUUCACUUUGUUAAAUUAUAUUAACUAGGAACUUGCUUAACUUGACAGGUGAUUGAUGCUAUAUAUAAGUGAAUCUA